rnacentral:rRNA from 1 species
UACGGGGGGUGCAAGCGUUGUUCGGAUUUACUGGGCGUAAAGGGCGCGUAGGCGGCGCAGCAAGUCACUUGUGAAAUCUCCGGGCUUAACCCGGAGCGGCCAAGUGAUACUGUCGUGCUAGAGUGCGGAAGGGGCUACUGGAAUUCUCGGUGUAGCGGUGAAAUGCGUAGAUAUCGAGAGGAACACCUGCGGCGAAGGCGGGUAGCUGGGCCGACACUGACGCUGAGGCGCGAAAGCCAGGGGAGCGAACGGG